rnacentral:misc_RNA from 1 species
UUUUUUUUUUUUUUCAAUCAAAAUUCAAGAAAAAUAUUAAUGCGGCACAGAAAAUUUAUUGCCUCAAUUUCGUCAUAACAUGAACAAGAGUAACAUUUAAAUCAUAGCCCACUCCAUAGCUUUAAAAAGCAUAUGUCAACACAAUAUUUGUCCACUUAACAAUUAAAUUCUCUACCCUGCAGUAUCUUACCAAGUAGGCAGUCCUCAUCUAAAUAGAAAUCCCACAUUAAAAAGUACUCUCGAAACCAGACUCAACCACAAAGUUAAGGUCAUCAAAAGUCGGUUCGAAAACUCAAACACCAUCUACUUAUAUAAAUAGGAAAACUCAACGUUACCCACCAAACAGCUUCUGCACAAUAGUUCUUGUUCUUCUUCAAAUUUUUUUUAGUAUAUAGUUUUUGGAGAAGCCCGCAUACAUUUCUCUCAAGCUUCACUAAAAAACCAAACCACAAGAAACCCUCACAUUUAAACAAGAAACUACCACCCGUCAAGCCACAAUUUUGUUCUUAAAUUGAAUGCAGCAUGAGCAGGUGUUUUUAUCAUACAACUAAAAUAUCCUGGAGCAUAUUGCAGCCCAAAGCACUCCAGAACAGACGUUGGAGAACACAAGGGGCCAGAUCAACGGCCUUUAUAUGCUUAUUCAAAU